GGGGAUGAAGCUCAGUGCUAGAGCACUUGCCUAGCAUGUAUUAGGUCCUGGGUUUGAUCCCCAGCACCA
rfam:Heterocephalus glaber contig119642, whole genome shotgun sequence.